GACGAACGCUGGCGGCAUGCCUAAUACAUGCAAGCCGAGCGAACAGAUGAAGUGCUUGCACUCCUGACGUUAGCGGCGAACGGGUGAGUAACACGUAAGGAAUCUACCUAUAAGCGGGGGAUAACAUUCGGAAACGGGUGCUAAUACCGCAUAAUAUCUUCUUCCGCAUGGAAGAAGAUUGAAAGACGGCUCUGCUGUCACUUAUAGAUGACCUUGCGGUGCAUUAGUUAGUUGGUGGGGUACCGGCCUACCAAGACGAUGAUGCAUAGCCGACGUGGUAUGGUGAUCGGCCACAUUGGGACUGAAACACGGCCCAAACGCGUACGGGAGGCAGCAGUAGGGAAUCUUCCGAAAUGGGCGCAAGCCUGACGGAGCAAUGCCGCGUGAGUGAAGAAGGCCUUCGGGUCGUAAAACUCUGUUAUAAGAGAAGAACAAAUUGUAGAGUAACUGCUACAGUCUUGACGGUAUCUUAUCAGAAAGCCACGGCUAACUACGUGCCAGCCGCCGCCGUAA
rnacentral:rRNA from 1 species